AAGCUGAGACUCCAUUAUAUAGCUAUAAUUGGAAUGUGUUUCAGUAAACAGGUAAAAACAAAAAACUUGAGUCAGUGUCCAAAUAUAUAUGGACCUAACUGUAUUAAACAAAACUGGAUUCUGAAUAACUGAAGUAGAAACACAGAAGCUUUCUUGGUGUGCAGAUUCUGUUCCAGAUACAGCCAAAAUACAGGAUUAGAUGGGUGCUGGGAGAGAAGAUGAGAAGGAGAAGUCAAAUCACUGGAAAUAUAAAGGAAAAUAAGCUGCUUCACGAGGGCCAAACACAGUCACUGGUAUCCAGCAAGGAGAAGGGAGGUUGGUCGUUACUGUGGAAUUUACCUAACUUCUCAGGACACAGA